rnacentral:rRNA from 1 species
UACGUAGGUGGCGAGCGUUGCUCGGAAUCACUGGGCGUAAAGGGUGCGUAGGCGGGUCUUUAAGUCAGGGGUGAAAUCCUGGAGCUCAACUCCAGAACUGCCUUUGAUACUGAAGAUCUUGAGUUCGGGAGAGGUGAGUGGAACUGCGAGUGUAGAGGUGAAAUUCGUAGAUAUUCGCAAGAACACCAGUGGCGAAGGCGGCUCACUGGCCCGAUACUGACGCUGAGGCACGAAAGCGUGGGGAGCAAACAGG